CGGCUGAGAGUGUAACAAAGCUGGCAGGGAUUCCUUUUCGGCACCUUCAUCUUGGAACUGUGUUGGUCCCCUGAUCCUCGCCUUUCACUGAACUCUUGUGUCUCGUUUCUGAUUCUCCCGCCGCAUCACGCUUUCAGAAACCCUGCUUGUCGAGCUGGACUGAACAGGGGCCUGAAAGUGGAACUAGCCUCGAGGCUAGGCUCCUAGCGGCGGAGAACGCAGGGAAAUCCGGCCCGCUCUGGCGGAAGAGAAACAACCUUGAAGAAGUUGAACAUCGGUGGAUCCCAAAAUGAAAAAUCUGGCCCUGGAAGGAAAAGGACCUACUUCAAUAUAGACCCACUGUUUGAACCCCCGCUUGGAGCCAUGUCACUGCUGAUCCUUAAUCCUGCACUAUCUCUAUCAAAAAUAACCCAAGAAGCAUCUUUGCCAACUUGGGGACAGAUAGAGAAACUAUCUCUGGAGGCAGAGAAGAUGGUACACAGAAGACUGCCAGAAACACCAGACAACCUGUUCUUGGCUAUGGUCACUUUGCUGACCAUGGUGUCUGGAGAAGAACAAUCAAGAGACAAUGAAACCAACAACAGCAACUAGUGUUUCUCACCAUUUCUCAUCUUGUAGAAAAUCAAAAAGGGGGAGAUGUAGGAGACAGGAAGAAUAGAAGAAAAGCAGACCCCGGAGAGGGCCACAGAAGGAAUUUAUAAUUAUUGAUAAACUGGAUGCUUUAAGGCAUGGGACUCUUGGAACAAGUCCAGACGAAACAGUUCAUAAUCUUGAAAACAAGAUAUGAUCCUGGGGGCGGGAAACCAACCCCAGACUGUUUCCCAAAUGGCCUCUCAGAGCAACGUGUUUUUCAUAUCUGGAGGAAAUCUAUAGAUAAGAAUAUUAUUCUUAGUUACUGAUUUGUUAUUGAUUACUGUUUCUUGUUUACCCAAAGGUUAAUGAUCACUUGGGCCCUGAAGGCCACAUGAAUUAUUGCUUAACUCCCUGCACCAUUCCUUCCUUCAUGGCUGAGAGUAUAAUAAAGCUGGCAUGGAUUCAGUUUCAGCACCUUCACCUUGGAGCGGUGUUGGUCCCCUGAUCCUCACCUUUCACUGAACUGUUGUGUCGUUUCUCAUUCUCCCGCCUGCAUCACGCUUUCGGAAACCCUGCUUGUAGAGCCGGACUCAACAGAGUAUAAAGAAAGCUGAGCACUGAAGACUUGAUUCUUUUGAACUGUGGUGUUGGAGUAGACUCUUGAGAGUCCCUUGGACUGCAAGGAGAUCCAACCAGUCCAUCCUAAAAGAAAUCAGUUCUGAAUGUUCAUUGGAAGGACUGAUGCUGAAGUUUAAACUCCAAUACUUUGGCCACCUGAUGCAAAGAACUGACUCGUU